GGGCGUGAUCUUUGUGGGUGCGUGAUCAGAACUUUGCAGUUAAGCGCGCUUGGGCUAGAGUAGUACUUGGAUGAGUGACCUCCCGGGAACUCCUAGUGUUGCACCCU
rnacentral:rRNA from 1 species